UCCAGACUCCUACGGGAGGCAGCAGUGAGGAAUAUUGGUCAAUGGCCGAGAGGCUGAACCAGCCAAGUCGCGUGAGGGAAGACGGCCCUACGGGUUGUAAACCUCUUUUGUCGGGGAGCAAAGCGAGUCACGUGUGACUCAUUGAGAGUACCCGAAGAAAAAGCAUCGGCUAACUCCGUGCCAGCAGCCGCGGUAAUACGGAGGAUGCGAGCGUUAUCCGGAUUUAUUGGGUUUAAAGGGAGCGUAGAUGGGUUGUUAAGUCAGUUGUGAAAGUUUGCGGCUCAACCGUAAAAUUGCAAUUGAUACUGGCAGCCUUGAGUACAGUUGAGGUAGGCGGAAUUCGUGGUGUAGCGGUGAAAUGCUUAGAUAUCACGAAGAACUCCGAUUGCGAAGGCAGCCUACUAAACUGCCACUGACAUUGAUGCUCGAAAGUGUGGGUAUCAAACAGGAUUAGAUACCCUAGUA
rnacentral:rRNA from 1 species